rnacentral:rRNA from 1 species
UUGACAGGCUUAACACAUGCAAGUCGAGGGGCAGCACAGGUAGCAAUACCGGGUGGCGACCGGCGCACGGGUGAGUAACGCGUAUGCAACUUACCUAUCAGAGGGGGAUAACCCGGCGAAAGUCGGACUAAUACCGCAUGAAGCAGGGGCCCCGCAUGGGGAUAUUUGCUAAAGAUUCAUCGCUGAUAGAUAGGCAUGCGUUCCAUUAGGCAGUUGGCGGGGUAACGGCCCACCAAACCGACGAUGGAUAGGGGUUCUGAGAGGAAGGUCCCCCACAUUGGUACUGAGACACGGACCAAACUCCUACGGGAGGCAGCAGUGAGGAAUAUUGGUCAAUGGCCGAGAGGCUGAACCAGCCAAGUCGCGUGAGAGAUGAAGGUUCUAUGGAUCGUAAACCUCUUUUAUAAGGGAAUAAAGUGCGGGACGUGUCCCGUUUUGUAUGUACCUUAUGAAUAAGGAUCGGCUAACUCCGUGCCAGCAGCCGCGGUAAUACGGAGGAUCCGAGCGUUAUCCGGAUUUAUUGGGUUUAAAGGGUGCGUAGGCGGCCUUUUAAGUCAGCGGUGAAAGUCUGUGGCUCAACCAUAGAAUUGCCGUUGAAACUGGGGGGCUUGAGUAUGUUUGAGGCAGGCGGAAUGCGUGGUGUAGCGGUGAAAUGCAUAGAUAUCACGCAGAACCCCGAUUGCGAAGGCAGCCUGCCAAGCCAUUACUGACGCUGAUGCACGAAAGCGUGGGGAUCAAACAGGAUUAGAUACCCUGGUAGUCCACGCAGUAAACGAUGAUCACUAGCUGUUUGCGAUACACUGUAAGCGGCACAGCGAAAGCGUUAAGUGAUCCACCUGGGGAGUACGCCGGCAACGGUGAAACUCAAAGGAAUUGACGGGGGCCCGCACAAGCGGAGGAACAUGUGGUUUAAUUCGAUGAUACGCGAGGAACCUUACCCGGGUUUGAACGCAUUCGGACCGAGGUGGAAACACCUUUUCUAGCAAUAGCCGUUUGCGAGGUGCUGCAUGGUUGUCGUCAGCUCGUGCCGUGAGGUGUCGGCUUAAGUGCCAUAACGAGCGCAACCCUUGCCACUAGUUACUAACAGGUGAUGCUGAGGACUCUGGUGGGACUGCCAGCGUAAGCUGCGAGGAAGGCGGGGAUGACGUCAAAUCAGCACGGCCCUUACAUCCGGGGCGACACACGUGUUACAAUGGCGUGGACAAAGGGAGGCCACCUGGCGACAGGGAGCGAAUCCCCAAACCACGUCUCAGUUCGGAUCGGAGUCUGCAACCCGACUCCGUGAAGCUGGAUUCGCUAGUAAUCGCGCAUCAGCCAUGGCGCGGUGAAUACGUUCCCGGGCCUUGUACACACCGCCCGUCAAGCCAUGGGAGCCGGGGGUACCUGAAGUCCGUAACCGAAAGGAUCGGCCUAGGGUAAAACUGGUGACUGGG